GUUUUUGCUGCGUCACAGGGAGACAGAAGAUGGGCUGCUAUUUCGUCGGCUAAAUGCUAUCAUUUUAAGCACCGUUCCAAAGAAAACAGGGAUCUUGCCAGAGGAAAAUAACAUAUACCAUAAAGGAAAAAGAAAUGUGCAUCAAGGCAAAUAAACAGCUCUCUACUAAGGGCCUAGGAUCUUGCUAGACGAGUCAUUUCUCUGGUUGAAAAGCAGUUGAGAAAGGCAAGACAAGGGGGGCGGGGGCCCAGCAGGGCACCUCUGAGCCCUUCCUGCUGCUCUUCAAAGACAGACGCAUUUUCCUUUCUACGGUCUCCUUGCAAGUCUUCUGUAGGCCCUGCCACCUUCAGGCUGACUGACUGCCUCCUUCAAAUAUCAGCAUUUGGAAGGGUACUGGGGAGUCGACACCCUCAUGUCUGUGAGCUGACUGCAGGACGUCUCCUGUCCAGGUGCUGGCACCUCAUCUAACAUUUGAAGGCUCAGAAGAAAAGCCACGUCUGCCUACACAAUCUCACAAUCCGGCUUCAGCAAAGCAUGAGUUAAUUCAACUUCAUACUCGUGAACGUGAAGCGGGGGUUGGAAGGAAUGAAGGCUGCAGGACACCCAUGUACCAAGAAAAAGAAAGACAAAUUGGUUGUUUUAUCUACUUUACAUCAUGAUGGAGUCCUAAAAAGGGCCCCAUGAAGGCAGGCAGCCCAGGGAGGAAUGACUGGACGGUGACAUUGUGCAGGGGGUCUGGAAGUUGCCAGCGCAGGGGUUAGCAGCUGCAGCCUGGCCUGGUCCUGUCUGCCUGGCUGUCAAACCCAGAAGACCGUGGUUUCUGGUGGCCUCUGUGUGACAGCGGAGGAGGUGGGGCGAGGCCUGGAAGUGAAGCAUCUCGUGAGCCACUUAAGUGUUUAUGAAGCUCGCUAAUGUGCUUAAAUGAACGAGAAGCAGGUACUUGCUCCCAGGACCAGAGCCACCAAAGCAAUUUCCUCUGCAGCCCCUCAUACUUCGCACACUGGAAGCUUGCAUUCUUUCCCAGAGGACAGCCGGAUUACAGCACCGCCUCUAAUGCAACCCGAUCUGGUUUCUUUGAGCGCCGCGGUGAACGUGCAAUCUAUCUCAUAAAUGCAUCGCAGUGUUCCACAAAUCACCCACGUUCAUCCCUUGAGACGUCUUUAACUCGGGGCUUAGAGUUGCAAAUGAAUUCUCCUAUGGAUCUAUUAUUCCAUCAAAUAGCGGAGAGAGGGGACUAGCUUGUGCAGAGCCUUCAUAGAGCUGGGCUAAAUUCGAUUAUGCAAAGUCUAACGAGCACCAUUCAGCAAAACCAUGGUGGGUGUGAGCUGCAGGCCAGCCCCUCCACUGGGCCAUUAUCCAGGGGUAAACACCACUCGUGGGUUAGUUCCACGAGUUACUGGCUGAUUUGACCUGUGAUACUCCAAGGUGGAAGUAACCAAAUAAUAUGUAUCAUGAGCCCCAAGAACGAAGCCAGUGGAGAGUGGUACAUGCUAGAGGGUAACGCCUGGCCCUUUGCAGGACAGCACGUCAGCCAUGCGCCAUGGGACGAUGGUGGUGGCUGGGACACAGGAGGCCACGGCAGGAAAUGGGCAGGUGGGUGGGUCUAUGUAAGCUGGCUUUAGACUUCAAUCCACAAGCAUUUGCAGCUCAACUACUCAGCGUCUUAUCUUAUUUAAUCCUUUCAGCAAUAAACACUCUUUUCACAUGUAGUAAGGUUAAGGAGUCUACAUCACACCCUUUAUCAUUAUUAAUAAAGGGACACACCCUCCAGGGAUCCUAGGGAACCUCCUACCCACCCUGUGGUCACUCUAGGGAAAGGAAAGCUCUCAGGGACCGACGGGAGCCUGGGCACAUGCGCCACCACUCUCUCCUUUAUCCCCUCUAGCCCGGCUUGCUGGCUCUCACUUUCUUUUGUGCACUAGAACUCACGUACAAGUUGCACACCCAAACCCUUGCAUGCUGCAUUUCAGAGUCAACUUCAGUGAUUUUUGAGAGUGAUUUUGACAAUCCCAGUCAAAAUUCUAGCAGGUUUUUUUUUUUUACAUGACAAGUGGAUUCUAAAAUUCAUAGGAAAAUGCAAAUGACCUAGAAGAGCCAAAGCAAUUUUGGAAGGAGUAAAGUCGAAUGGCUGACGCUACCAGAUUUCAAGAUUCACUUGAAACGCACAGGAAUCAAGACAGGGUGGUGUCGACAGAAGGAAGGCGUCAGAGCAGGGUGACAGGAGGCAGGGCCACACACAGACGGCUGAUUGAUACCCGACAAAACCGCCGAGGUAAUUUCACAGGGAAAGGAACUCUUUUGAACAAAUGGUGCACCAACAAUUGGAUAACCAUACGGAAAAAAUUUAAAAAACAGAAGAACAUUGACCCUUCACGCACAUCAAACAUAAAUUAACUCAGAAUCCAUCAUAGGCUGGGUGUUGUGGCUCAUGCCUUUAAUCCUAGCACUUUGGGAGGCCAAGGCAGGCGGAUCACCUGAGGUCAGG
rnacentral:lncRNA from 1 species